rnacentral:rRNA from 1 species
CCAUGGCCGAGUGAGAGGGACAAGCUCAAAUUUUAAAUCUGUUGGGUUUACCUAACCGAGUUGUAAUUUGAAGAGGCGUUUUCUGUGUUUUUGAUCAGCCCAAGUCCUUUGGGAUAAGGCAUCAUGGAGGGUGAGAAUCCCGUCCGGUUGAUCAGAUUCGCUUUACGAUACGUCAUCUAAGAGUCAAGUUGUUUGGGAUUGCAGCUUAAAAUGGGAGGUAAAUUUCUCCUAAGGCUAAAUAACGGCGAGAGACCGAUAGCGAACAAGUACCGUGAGGGAAAGAUGAAAAGAACUUUGAAAAGAGAGUUAAACAGUACGUGAAAUUGUUGAAAGGGAAACGAUUGAAGCCAGUCAUACCGGCGGAUAAUCAGCCUUUCGGGUGCGAUUCUGUGGAGUGUGAGGAGUUAAACGCCUUCAUGCCUGCAUAUUCGUGCACCUUGGGUGUACUUGCCCGUGUGGUAAGUUAACAUCAAUUUUGAUCGUCAUAAAAUGGCUGGUGGAAUGUAGCUUCGGUCUCGUACUGAAGUGUUAUAGCCUCCGGUAGAUGUGAUGAUCGGGAUUGAGGAUUGCAACGGAUACCCUUCGGGGCUACCCCGCCCU